CGCAGAGACUAGGCUGUAAGAGAGGAGGGGGUAGGGAGCUUCUUUUUCUUUUUAGCAUAAACUUGCUUUUUAUCAUCAAGGGGUGCAGUCUCUUUUCACUCUUUCAUAUUUCUCAAAACAGCCCUAUAAUCUGUUUUCUGUGUGCUGUUUUUCCCUGUUCUUUUUUUAGAAGUAGCUUCAAAAUGAGAUGUAUUUUCAGCACUCACCUUGAAAAAUAUUUAUGUGUUGUUGAGCUCCCUGCAUGGCUGCAAAGUGACUUUAAAGCACUAAGAUCAUAUGGUAUGUUAAAUCUCUGUGGGAGAGGAACAACAUGAUGCUAAAGACCUCCUGUGCUGCUAAGUGUCAUGCAUUUAUUUAUGUGACUCUUGUUUUACAAGGAUAUGGUGUUCUCUGAGAUGCUUUGCUGCCUGCUUGGACAAGACGAACAACAAGCACAAGGACCUCCUUAAUACAGAAUUAAGGGGGACACAUGCAUUGUUGAACAUCAUGAAAGACUUUCAUACAAUGGCAAAAGGCCCCAUCAAGAGGUUUAGUUCCAUGUUACCAUAAGUAGUCUCUGUAUUAUAACAAAGAAUGACUCUUUGAAAAGGUG